rnacentral:rRNA from 1 species
UGCCAGCCGCCGCGGUAAUACAGAGGGUGCAAGCGUUGUUCGGAAUUACUGGGCGUAAAGAGUAUGUAGGCGGCGAAGUUUGUCCGAUGUGAAAUACCCUGGCUUAACCAGGGAACUGCAUUGGAAACUGCUUUGCUAGAGUGUGAGAGAGGAUAGUGGAAUUCCUAGUGUAGAGGUGAAAUUCGUAGAUACUAGGAGGAACACCAGAGGCGAAGGCGGCUAUCUGGAUCACCACUGACGCUGAGAUACGAAAGCGUGGGUAGCAAACAGGAUUAGAUA